GAUGAACGCUGGCGAGAUGCUUUACACAUGCAAGUCGUACGAAAGUUUUUUAACUUUAAGUGGCGGACGGGUGAGUAACACGUAAGAAUUUACCUCUGGGAGGGGGACAACAGACAGAAAUGGCUGCUAAUACCCCAUAAUGCUUUGGAGUGCUACGGUACUCUUAAGUGAAACGGAUUUUUUGCCUAGAGAGAAGCUUGCGGCUGAUUAGCUUGUUGGUGAGGUAAUGGCUUACCAAGGCGACGAUCAGUAUCUGGUUUGAGAGGAUGAUCAGACACACUGGAACUGAGACACGGUCCAGACUCCUACGGGAGGCAGCAGUGGGGAAUUUCCGCAAUGGGCGAAAGCCUGACGGAGCAAUCUCGCGUGAGGGAUGACUGCCUAUGGGUUGUAACCUCUUUUUC
rnacentral:rRNA from 1 species